rnacentral:rRNA from 1 species
UGAUCCUGGCUCAGAUUGAACGCUGGCGGCAGGCCUAACACAUGCAAGUCGAACGGUAACAGGAUAGCUUGCUAUCGCUGACGAGUGGCGGACGGGUGAGUAAUACUUAGGGAUCUGCCUCUGUGUGGGGGAUAACUAUUGGAAACGAUAGCUAAUACCGCAUAAUGUCUACGGACCAAAGCGGGCUUCGGCUCGUGCGCAGAGAGGAACCUAAGCGAGAUUAGCUAGUUGGUGUGGUAAAGGCUCACCAAGGCGACGAUCUCUAGCUGUUCUGAGAGGAAGAUCAGCCACACUGGAACUGAGACACGGUCCAGACUCCUACGGGAGGCAGCAGUGGGGAAUAUUGCACAAUGGGGGAAACCCUGAUGCAGCCAUGCCGCGUGUGUGAAGAAGGCCUUCGGGUUGUAAAGCACUUUCAGUUGUGAGGAAAGUUUAGUAGUUAAUACCUGCUAGAUGUGACGUUAGCAACAGAAGAAGCACCGGCUAACUCCGUGCCAGCAGCCGCGGUAAUACGGAGGGUGCGAGCGUUAAUCGGAAUUACUGGGCGUAAAGCGCACGCAGGCGGUCUGUUAAGCUAGAUGUGAAAGCCCCGCGCUCAACGUGGGAGGGUCAUUUAGAACUGGCAGACUAGAGUCUUGGAGAGGGGAGUGGAAUUCCAGGUGUAGCGGUGAAAUGCGUAGAGAUCUGGAGGAACAUCAAUGGCGAAGGCAACUCCCUGGCCAAAGACUGACGCUCAUGUGCGAAAGUGUGGGUAGCGAACAGGAUUAGAUACCCUGGUAGU